GGAUGAAUAUUGGUCAAUGGGCGAGAGCCUGAACCAGCCAAGUCGCGUGAAGGAAGACGGUUCUAUGGAUUGUAAACUUCUUUUGUAAGGGAAUAAAGUUCACUACGUGUAGUGUUUUGUAUGUACUUUACGAAUAAGGAUCGGCUAACUCCGUGCCAGCAGCCGCGGUAAUACGGAGGAUCCAAGCGUUAUCCGGAUUUAUUGGGUUUAAAGGGUGUGUAGGCGGACCCAUAAGUCAGUGGUGAAAGUU
rnacentral:rRNA from 1 species